rnacentral:rRNA from 1 species
GACGAACGCUGGCGGCGUGCUUAACACAUGCAAGUCGAACGCUGAAGCUCAGCUUUUGUUGGGUGGAUGAGUGGCGAACGGGUGAGUAACACGUGAGUAACCUGCCCCCUUCUUUGGGAUAACGCCCGGAAACGGGUGCUAAUACUGGAUAUUCACUGGUCUUCGCAUGGGGGUUGGUGGAAAGGGUUUUUCUGGUGGGGGAUGGGCUCGCGGCCUAUCAGCUUGUUGGUGGGGUGAUGGCCUACCAAGGCUUUGACGGGUAGCCGGCCUGAGAGGGUGACCGGUCACAUUGGGACUGAGAUGCGGCCCAGACUCCUACGGGAGGCAGCAGUGGGGAAUAUUGCACAAUGGGCGCAAGCCUGAUGCAGCGACGCCGCGUGAGGGAUGGAGGCCUUAGGGUUGUGAACCUCUUUCGCUCAUGGUCAAGCCGCAACCAUGGUUGUGGUGAGGGUAGUGAGUAAAGAAGCGCCGGCUAACUACGUG